rnacentral:rRNA from 1 species
AUGGCGGCAGCUCCGGGCUCUGGUGCUCAAAACUCCACUCGCAACGGCUCGAGCGUGUCGGCGGGAGAUGAUCGAAACCCACCGCGCGGUCAGUGGGGCGACGACGGAUACGAUGCUUAUGGUGCUGGGUUGCACAGGGGCUCUUCCUCAACCGGUGGAGACCGAGGAUAUGCUCGGGUGGACAAGGGACAGAGUAACAAUGGUUUCCAAGGACCGACCGGGAACUUUGUCGAGGGAGCUCCCGGUCCCAACCGUGCUUUUCGCGGGCGCUUCCGUGGAGGUCGGGGCGGUAACCGCAGGUUUAAUCAGACUCGGUAUGCUAGGACGGCUACAGUGACGGAGGUCGCGGAGGGUGCAUCAGAGUUACCCCAGGUGGCAGUGGAGACGGUGCAGGCUUUGGCUUCAGUCUCGAUGCCUGAGCCUAUGCAGACUGAGGAUACUGUUUCCGAGCACGGUUCUGACAAGGUCGAGAGUGACAAAUUGUCUAAGUGGGCGGCUAAGAAGAAAAAGCUCACUUGUUUCCGGUGUGGGGAACCGGGGCACUUUUUGGUCCAGUGUACGGCGGAGCUUUGUGAUCUUUGCCGGAAGCCUAAUCACACAACGGCUGACUGUCCUCUGAUGUUGGGGCCAAAACCAUCCGUCCAGAUAUACGGGGUGUGUUGCUCCGAGUUGAUGUUUUUUGAAUCUCCGUCUGCGGAACCUUCCGCGCCCAUAGUGGAAACCUCCUUCCCCGGUGUUGUGAAGGUGGUCCACGGGCCUUUGACCGAAGCACAGAUUAUUCAGCAGUUGAGAGAGCUAGCUCCGGGUAAUUUUCAGUGGUCAUUACUUAAGCUCUCUGAUAAUUCGUAUAAAGUGGACUUCCCUUCUAAGGAGGAUCAGGUGAGGAUUCUCAAGUUUGGUAUGAGCAGGGUCACAGGCACUAGCUUUGUGCUGGCGUUCGAUGAGUGGAAAAAGAAAGAACCACAGGGCACACCUUUAACUCAGAUUUGGGUUCGUUUCUCUGGAGCCCCGUCUGAUCCUUUGGACAACUUUCUGGUGACAUGGAGUCCGGGGUCGCUGAUAGGUAAGACCGAGCAGGUGGAUAUGCAGUUCACUCGGGCUCAUGGGGUCGCACGGCUGCUAGUUAGUGUCGCCAAUAUUCAGUACUUGCCAGACGUGGUGCCUUGGACUUACGCAGGCGUUCUGUAUCAGUUGGACGUGCACUAUGAGGAUCCUGAUCUUUUCAAUGAGUUUGAGGAUGACAAUCCCGUGGACACUUCUGAGGGAGGUGGGGGUUCAGGUACCAGGGAUGACAUUGCUAAGAGUAAUGAGGAUAAGGCUUUGGGACCGUCGGGGCAGUCGGAGAAUGCCGACUCCACUCCUGUUGGGCCGUCCUCCACGGUACCAACUACCACGCUUCAGCUGGGUUCUCUUGGGGCCUUCUCGGCGCCGCCGAGAUUGUCGAGUGUUAGGGCUGGUCCUCCGAGUCCAAGACUUAGAUUAUGUGUGGGGAGGUCGGUCGACCACACUGAUGAGGUGGGGCAGCAGGCCCCGUCGUCUGUCCCUCGCUCGCCUUCGGCCAUGGCGAUCGUGGCGGAGCCGGUCGCUGCGGGACGAGCGGACUUGCAGGAGGCUAGACCUUCUGGGUCCUUGAUGUGGCUGGAGACUGGGGGCGGCGCGGCCCCACUGGAGAGGUCCCCGGAUGGCAGGGAAACGGGGGCGCAGGAGGCCGCCCUUUCUCCUGCGGUGGCACUGGAAGGCAGCCUGGUGGAUGCGCUUCCUGCGGAACCGGCAGCGCCUUUUUCUUUGGGCACGAGCAUCGGCGAGGUGGAUACUUCGUCAUCUCGGGUGGCUGCUCCGACAGCUCCGGUGAUGGUCUUAGCGGCUGGGGGACGGGCAGGAGGCUCUUCCCCUAGCGCUACUUCGCGUGAGGAGGUCCGCGAGUUGGAGGAUUCGGCAUCUCUGGUGGCUGCUCCGGUGGCCUCGGUGAUGGCCACUGCGGCUGUGGGACGGGCAGGAGGCUCUUCCCCUACCGCUACUUCGCGCGACGAGGUCAUCGCGUUCGGUGGGAUCUCGGACCCGGUCUCUGUAGGGAGACGGGUCAGCGGGAGACUACAGGAGCACUCCGAUGUUGAUGACAUGCAGCUGAGGUGCGCGUUGAGAGCGGCCAAGCUGCGGGACGUCGAGACUACAACUGGUUAUCUUCAGGGCCACAGCGUUGAUCCGUAUGUGGUCGCUACUCACUCCGAUGGAGGACAGGGGGCAUUUGGCUACUGCGUCUACCCGAUGGGAGAUGGUAGCUCGGGUUAUUUUCAACCGGUUUGGAUGGCGGUCAUGUAA